CGAAGGCAGCUCACUGGACUGCAACUGACACUGAUGCUCGAAAGUGUGGGUAUCAAACAGGAUUAGAUACCCUGGUAGUCCACACAGUAAACGAUGAAUACUCGCUGUUUGCAAGGGCCAAGCGAAAGCAUUAAGUAUUCCACCUGGGGAGUACGCCGGCAACGGUGAAACUCAAAGGAAUUGACGGGGGCCCGCACAAGCGGAGGAACAUGUGGUUUAAUUCGAUGAUACGCGAGGAACCUUACCCGGGCUUAAAUUGAAGGUGCUGCAUGGUUGUCGUCAGCUCGUGCCGUGAGGUGUCGGCUUAAGUGCCAUAACGAGCGCAACCCUUAUCUUCAGUUACGACUCUGGAGAGACUGCCGUCGUAAGAUGGAGGAAGGUGGGGAUGACGUCAAAUCAGCACGGCCCUUACGUCCGGGGCUACACACGUGUUACAACGGGGGGUACAGAAGGCAGCUAGCGGGUGACCGUAUGCUAAUCCCAAAAUCCUCUCUCAGUUCGGAUCGAAGUCUGCAACCCGACUUCGUGAAGCUGGAUUCGCUAGUAAUCGCGCAUCAGC
rnacentral:rRNA from 1 species